rnacentral:tRNA from 1 species
GUGGGUAUAACUCAGUGGUAGAGUGCAUGCUUAGCAUGCAUGAGGUCCUGGGUUCAUUCCCCAGUACCUCCA